rnacentral:rRNA from 1 species
AAUGAACGCUGGCGGCGUGGAUAAGGCAUGCAAGUCGUACGGGUCUAGUGUCUGGAUCCUUUCGGGGUGAAAGAUACAAAGACUAGUGGCAAAAGGGUGAGUAACGCGUGAGUAACUUGCCUGUGGCUUAAGGAUAACAGUCCGAAAGGACUGCUAAUACUGUAUAAUACUAUAUUGUCAUCAGACUUUAUGGUUAAAGGUGGCCUCUGUUUCAAGCUACCGGCCGCAGGGAGGCUCGCGUCCUAUUAGCUAGUUGGCAGGGUAAUGGCCUACCAAGGCAACGAUGGGUAGCCGGUUUGAGAGAACGAUCGGCCACACUGGGACUGAGACACGGCCCAGACUCCUACGGGAGGCUGCAGUCGAGGAUAAUUCGCAAUGGGGGCAACCCUGACGAUGCGACGCCGCGUGAGGGAUGAAGGCCUUCGGGUUGUAAACCUCUGUCACUCGGGAAGAAAGGUAUAAGGGUAAAUAAUCCUUGUAUUUGACGGUACCGGGAGAGGAAGCUCCGGCUAACUCCGUGCCAGCAGCCGCGGUAAUACGGAGGGAGCAAGCGUUAUUCGGAUUUACUGGGCGUAAAGGGCGUGUAGGUGGGUAGCUAAGUCAGAUGUGAAAUCCCUCAGCUCAACUGAGGAACUGCAUUUGAAACUGAUUAUCUUGAGUGUGAGAAGAGAGAGCGGAAUUUUCGGUGUAGCGGUGAAAUGCGUAGAUAUCGAAAAGAACACCAGUGGUGCAAACGGCUCUCUGGCUCAACACUGACACUGAGGCGCGAAAGCUAGGGGAGCAAACGGGAUUAGAUACCCCGGUAGUCCUAGCUAUAAACGAUGUGAACUUGGUGUGGGGAG